rnacentral:rRNA from 1 species
CAACGACUCUCGGCAACGGAUAUCUCGGCUCUCGCAUCGAUGAAGAACGUAGCGAARUGCGAUACUUGGUGUGAAUUGCAGAAUCCCGUGAACCAUCGAGUCUUUGAAYGCAAGUUGCGCCCGAAGCCGUCAGGCCGAGGGCACGUCUGCCUGGGCGUCACGC